GGCUGGUCCGAUGGCAGUGGGUUAUCAGAACUUAUUAACAUUAGUGUCGGGGACUGGGGAUUUAGCUUGGCGGCAUAAGCGCCUGCCUUGCAAGCAGGGAGUCGUGAGUUCGAUCCCUGGUACCGAUAAAAAGAAACAAAACAAAAAAUUAGUGUCACUAAAGUUGGUAUACCACCCCGCCCCCCACUGCUAAAUUUGACUGGCUUAAA
rnacentral:Y_RNA from 1 species